AGCUCGUCCACCAGCUCCUGCAGCACCUUCGUGCUGGGCAGGCCCUGCUGCAGAAUGACAGAAUCACAGAACAGCUGGGCUUGGCGGUGACCUUUAGGGACCGUCCAGGGUGACCCCACAGCAAUGAGCAGGGACAUUCCCAAGGAGAUCAGGUUGCUCACAGCCCGCUCCAGCCUUAUUCCAGAUGUGCCCAUUGGUGAUGGGCUGGGCACAGCCAAAAGUCUGCACUCUUUUCCUUAUGCUCACUGACCUUCUCCUGGCUGCUGGAUCCCUCCUGCCUCCUCCUACUGGCAGAGCCACGCUUCCAUCUCGUGACCAGCCAGAAGGCCAGAGAGAGCAGAACAGCCUCGGUGAGCCAAGGCAGCCACAGCAGCUGAUGAGCAGAACAGAGCAGGCUUUCCACGAUGGACUUGUCAUCAGUCUCCUGCAGGAGCCGAGUAAUUUCCUGAAACAGAUACUCCUUGCGCUCCUGCAUCCGUUUAACAUCAUCCUUUUCAAUUUGUGGAUUCAACUUCAGCCCAGCAGGGGUGAAUAACAGGGCCAGGACAAAGGCCAGUGUUGGAGACAUGGCCUGGUGGGAGAAAGGGGGCUCAGCAUGUCUGGCUGGGAGGGACCAGGGGGGCUGGUGACACCUGGAAUGUCACCAGAGCCUCUCUGGGCACCUGCCACGCUGAGAGCCCCAAGCCCCACUUCCCUCAGCCCUGAGGACAGUGCCCUGCCCUGGGGUCCCAGCUCUCACUCCAGCUUAAAUCUCCAGGGCAUCUUUCCCAGCCCCCAUCCAGCCCAGCAUUUCCCCUGCAUGUUCACUCACUGCCUGCCAGAAUCCAACUGCCUGGAGCUGCUCCUGGACAAGGGUGCCAGCAUGACCUGUCCUCUGUGAUGUCACAGGCAGCAGAACCAUGUCACUGAGCUGCCAAGCUGGCUGUGCCCCUGCUCACAGCUCCCACUGUGACCCCUGCCCUGGCAUGUCCCAGCCCCCAGAGCCACACCUGCCAGGCCACGAGCCCCAGCCUUGGUCCCCACUGCCGGCCUCAGUGGCUCCUGGCCAUCCUCACCCUGAGUGCAAAGCCAGCCCCAGGAGCCCCCCAGGGCGCUCUGGAUCCAGGCUGAGACACCCUCAAGCCAUCACUGGAAGGGACAUGGAUGGGGACUGCAGCUGGAUCUUCCAGUGCUCACCACCCCUGACUGUGCUCCAGCUUAAAACUUCCAGUAAUUUGGAGAAAUAAAGGUACAGGAGACAACCAAAACCAAGAGGCAAGAGGGAAGACACUUAGAAAUACAGAGCACAGGAGAAGACCUUGGAGAUGGCUCAAUAGAAAAUGCCAGCAACAGCGCCCGGAGCCCGGAGCUGCUCACUGCCACCACAGGGGCUCCUCAGUGCCCUGAUGGUUUGUGUCUGAUCCCUGCUGAGCUCCCUCUGCCCCUUCAGCAGACACAGCCCUGCCUGGAAAGGGCUCCGUGCUCUGGUGUUCUCAGCCUGCUGCAGGCUACAUUCUUAGGAGCGCUGAAAGAAGAGGUGAAACAAAGAGCCAUUUUCUGUCCUGCCUGCAAACUCUUCUCCUUCAGUGUAUUUCCAGAGAGAGAUCAUCCCUCUGUCAGCUUGGCUCUGUGCCUGGUGCAUUCUCAUCCCUGUCCCUUCCAUCAGCCGUAAGUCGUGCACAUCAGCACGCCCUGUCCCACAUCAUCAACAGAGAGAGCUGUGUUAGAAGAGCAGAGAUUGCAUUUUCUUGGCAUUUAUAACAGACACAAGAAACAUGAGUCACAGCAACUGCUUCUUGGACAUGAUAGAAAAUAUUAGAUUCAUGUGAAAUUCAGUUAAAAAGACUGCUGCUAUUUAAGCUUCCAACUAAAUGCACUGGUAUUGUUUUAUGAGUGGCAUCUGCAUUUCAACUAGAAUGUGUUUUGUGGUCCAGAAAUUUGUUUAGUUUAAAAAGAACUAAAAUUUGUGUCAGAAAAGCUUUCUGUGCAAGGGAUAAAAUUGCCUGCAGUGCUGGUGAUGGAAUACAGAAUCCCUAUUGCCAUCUCAGGUUACAUAGGUGUCCCUGAUAAAUAAUUAACUUCCAAAUAAAUGCAUUGACAAAUAUGAGUAAUAAAUGGAGCAUAAUUUGGGGUCCAGAAAUUUCUUGAGUUUAAAAAGAACCUAACUUUGUGUUAGAACAGCAUUUUGUGCAAGGGAUAAAAUUGUCUGCAGUGUUGGAAUACAGGAUUCCCUAUUUUCAUCUCAGGUUACAUGGGUGACCCCGGUAAGUAAUGUUGCUGUCAUGCACGAUGCCAGUGUUUUCAUAUUCUAAAGAAAUAAAUAGUUCAAUCCUUGAAGCUCUGUAAUGGCUUGUGAGAUUUUGAAGGAGGAGUUUCAUUGUUUUAUGUCUCUUGACAAACCGUUGGCCUGGAGGAUGAAACAUGCCAUACACACAGCAAGUCCCCAGUAGGAAGAGACGCUCAGUUUACCUGAAAUCAUGGAUUUCUAGAGUCAGUUUUGCAUGGGAGGUAUGUUGAAGGCCAGACCAGGACACGGUUGGAUUUCUGGGCUGCCACUGUAGCACUGUAGAACCUGGUGACAUCCCCAUGACUCCCAUGUUGAGUUUGUCCAGGUCUCUCUGGCUGACAUCUCAGCCCUCAGAUAUGUCAACCACACCAGUCAGCCUGGUGUCAUCCGUGUAUUUUUUCCUGGUUUUGGGGAUUCUUCGAUGGUUUGAAUAGUUUGAGUUUCGUUCUGUUUUUUAGUGAUUAUUUUUAAGCACAGCUUCCAGAUCCCCAUGUAUGAUCAGUGUCUAUAUGAACCCUGCUCAUGCUAUUGCCUCCUCUGCCCAGUUUCAUUUCCCUUUCUUCCUGCCCUCCUUUUCUCUCACUCUUUUCUGCAUUCCUGUAAAAGUCUCUUUUCCACAGUCAAUUGAAUGAACUUUAACUGGCUGUAGUUUCAGGUUGUCAGGCACUAUUGGAAUUUUGUCUGCUCUCUGAUGAAGGUGUGGUCAAUCUUCCAUUCCUGACUCGGUGCAGUCACCUUGGGCUGACUUCACUGGCUGACUCUGCUGUUUCCAGGGGAUGCAUUGCGACACCAAGCCCCUCAGGGCUCAAAUUCGGGGGACAGUGGGCUCAGACUGCCUUGAGUCUGUGAGAAACAAGCUGACGGGAAUUGGAUUUCCCAAAAUACUAUAUGAAUUUAUAUUAAAUAUUAUAAUACUGUUAGUAUUAAGAUCACAAUAUGUGUUAUAAAGAGGUUGAUGUUACAACAGCCUAGUUGUAAAAUUGACUUUCACGAGAACAGUAUGCUUUCAUGUGUUGUAAUGGGGGUUUAUGAGUUUGAAUUGGACAGACUCUUCCUAGACAAACUUUUGAGACAUGACCUUAAAAGGAGUAGAAUUUCAUCCACUGAGGACUGUGAUAACCACAGAGACGAAACUAUGUCGGCACCGAAAAGUGUGACAUAGGGCAAGGCUAUCUAAAACCAAAAACAAACAUGCAUGUAAUAAACAGAUAUUGCGAUGUUGGCUCUCACGAACAUUAAAUGUAUGUUAUAAGGUUAAAAGAAGUUCUGUUGGGGUCUGGUGUUUUUAUAGAUGAGCUUUGUAAUGUUGGAAGUUGAUCUCCAACCACUGGGAAAGUCGAAGCAAGAAGGACUGCACAGACUGCGAGAGGCGGGACAGAGGACCUGGGUUGGAAGAUCGCCCUGUGCCCCAGUGUGGGGAGGGUUGGCUUCCCAGGGGGUUGGCGUGGCAAUAGCUUUGCAUAAGGAUUGUUACAGGUGAGGGUGGUGUGCCUCUGGCUGCUAAGCACCCAUUGCUGUCCCUUUCUCCUUAUUCAGUCCAUUGUUGUGGUUCAAGAAACCUUUUAAAAUUUUAAGAAGUGAGACGUUGUUUCUCAUAAUGCAUAAAGCUGAUGCAAUAUCAAGGGUAUAGAAGGCAGAGCUGCCAUUUUGUGCACGAGCCUCUGGCAUUUUGCCACACACCCAGCACUGUCCCUUUUGCUUUGCUGAUUUUUUUAUUGUUCUCAAUAAAACAUCCAUAACUCAUU